ensembl:lncRNA GAS5 growth arrest specific 5
GUCUUUUCGAGGUAGGAGUCGACUCCUGUGAGGUAUGGUGCUGGGUGCAGAUGCAGUGUGGCUCUGGAUAGCACCUUAUGGACAGUUGUGUCCCCAAGGAAGGAUGAGAAUAGCUACUGAAGUCCUAAAGAGCAAGCCUAACUCAAGCCAUUGGCACACAGGCAUUAGACAGAAAGCUGGAAGUUGAAAUGGUGGAGUCCAACUUGCCUGGACCAGCUUAAUGGUUCUGCUCCUGGUAACGUUUUUAUCCAUGGAUGACUUGCUUGGGUAAGGACAUGAAGACAGUUCCUGUCAUACCUUUUAAAGGUAUGGAGAGUCGGCUUGACUACACUGUGUGGAGCAAGUUUUAAAGAAGCAAAGGACUCAGAAUUCAUGAUUGAAGAAAUGCAGGUUAGUUUAAACUUUGAAGGAAAUUUUUAAGGUGGCAAAAGGUUUUGGUGGCAUAUACACCUUAAUCUGUAGAUGGGAGUGAUUAGCUGUUUAAAAGUUAAAAUGUGACUGAGAAGGAAAUUGAGUAGGGCAAAUUUUAAAUGGGUAUUAUUUUUCAUCUUCAAACAGGCAGACCUGUUAUCCUAAACUAGGUGAGUCAGCUUUUGGUACAUGUGAUGAUUUUCAGUGUAACCAAUGAUGUAAUGAUUCUGCCAAAUGAAAUAUAAUGAUAUCACUGUAAAACCGUUCCAUUUUGAUUCUGAGGUUACUCUACUAACAAGCAUCACACAUUUGUAUUUUGCCCUGAUUAAUAUGUUGGCUUCGCUUUCAGGGUUUUUAAUGACCACAACAAGCAAGCAUGCAGCUUACUGCUUGAAAGGGUCUUGCCUCACCCAAGCUAGAGUGCAGUGGCCUUUGAAGCUUACUACAGCCUCAAACUUCUGGGCUCAAGUGAUCCUCAGCCUCCCAGUGGUCUUUGUAGACUGCCUGAUGGAGUCUCAUGGCACAAGAAGAUUAAAACAGUGUCUCCAAUUUUAAUAAAUUUUUGCAAUCCAUC